rnacentral:lncRNA from 1 species
CGCAGUUACUAACACUCAGUCUAGUCUCAUUAAUCUGAAACAUGCAUAUAUACACAAAACAAAUAAUCUUUAUUUAAGAUACAAUAAAAAUAUGAAAUUAUUUAUGAUACCAAUUCAUGAGUACUUAUAAUAAGUUUUUGGUUGUUGAAAACAAAUAGGAAAAUAAAGAUGAGUAUAUAUAAAAUAAUAUAUGUUAUUCUCAAUGAUUUUUAAUAAUUUUGAACUAAAGGGCAGUCCCCUAUUCGGAUCAAUAUUUCAAAAUUAAAAUAAAGAUGAGUAUAUAAAAUUUAUUUACUUGUUCGGUAUGGUUAAGAGUGGAAGAUAAAUUCAUUUGAAGUUGAGGACGAGUGACCAAUAUUGGCGUUGCAUGUGAGAAGACACCAAUGGAGAAUGUGAGGAUUAUUAAGGUAAGAGCUUUCAUGGGCCUUUUUUAUUCUUCACAAGAGGAGAAAACAAAUGAGAAAUAUUUUAUUAAGUUAGGAUAUUUUAAGUUUCUAUUAUUUAUAGCAUUAUAAAGGCCAUGGGAAAUAUUUAAUU